CCUACGGGGGGCAGCAGUGGGGAAUAUUGCGCAAUGGGCGAAAGCCUGACGCAGCGACGCCGCGUGAGGGAUGAAGGUCUUCGGAUCGUAAACCUCUGUCAGCAGGGAAGAACGGUCACUGUGCUAAUCAGCAGUGAAUUGACGGUACCUGCAAAGGAAGCACCGGCUAACUCCGUGCCAGCAGCCGCGGUAAUACGGAGGGUGCGAGCGUUAAUCGGAAUUACUGGGCGUAAAGCGCUCGUAGGCGGUAUGUCAAGUCACGGGUGAAAUCCCCGCGCUCAACGUGGGAACUGCCUUUGAAACUGGCAAACUGGAGUGUGUGAGAGGAGAGUGGAAUUCCAGGUGUAGGAGUGAAAUCCGUAGAUAUCUGGAGGAACAUCAGUGGCGAAGGCGACUAUCUGGAACAUAACUGACGCUGAGGAGCGAAAGCGUGGGUAGCAAACAGGAUUAGAUACCCCAGUAGUC
rnacentral:rRNA from 1 species